GCGCUUUGGUGCGGCGUUAAAAAGCGAGGAUUCCCCACCCGAGCGAAUGCUCUCCUCUGUCUCUCUCUCUCUCUCUCCUUCUUUUCGCUAUAAAUACUUGGAGCAAGGCGCUCGUCUUCCGAAUAGCAGACCUUCUCUUCGUCUACUUACCGGUAGGGUUUCGCUUACCAGCGUUCGAAUACACGCGAACCUCGUCACUGAUACAGUCUUAGGCGUAUUGAGAGUCAGGGAGAGAGAGAGAGAGAGUGAUGGAUUCGUACGCUGUUCAUCUGGCUAUGGCGGCUCUGGUCGGAGCGUCGUUCGUGGCGGUCUCGGCCUACUACAUGCACCGCAAAACCCUAGCUCAGUUGCUGGAGUUCGCGAAGACGGUUGAGCGGGAACGCGACCGAGACCGGGACGCCGCGGAGGACGAGCUCGGCCGAGGCGAUUCCCCGCAGCAUCCCAGGAAGUAUACCGACAAGCGGCGGGGACAAGGCGGAGGCCGGAGAAAGGGGAACGGCUAUUAUCGGCGUUCCUCGGCGUCGAUGCCGGACGUUGUGGCGGUUUCCGGUGAGGUUGAUGGUGGCGAGGGGCGAAAUAGUCCUGUUCUAGUUGAGGCCGUCCCGGAUGGGUUGCCGAGGCUGCGCUCGCUUUCCGAAGGGAAAUCUCCUGGCCAAGGGAGUUUGAGCAAAAGAGCUGGGCAUCUAAUUAGACCAACUUCUCCCAGGUCUCCUGUUGCUAGUGCUAGUGCUUUUGAAAGUGUAGAAGGAUCAGAUGAUGAGGAUAAUAUGACCGAUAAUGCUAAACUAGAUAUGUACAUUCAGACUAAUGGAAAUGCUGAUUUACCUAACCAGAAUAAUGCCAAUGAAGAGCAAAUCCAGAUAGAUGCAUCAAGUAUGAUGCGGUCUCACAGUGUAUCUGGUGACCUGCACAGUGUUCAACCAGACCCUGUAGCAGCUGAUAUUCUUAGAAAGGAGCCAGAGCAUGAAACCUUUGUACGGCUUAACAUCACACCAAAUGAGGUACCAUUACCUGAGGAAACAGAUGUCUAUAGGAGUCUGCAAACUUGUCUUGAACUGCGACAAAGUUAUGUAUUUAGGGAGGCCAUUCCUCCAUGGGAUAAAGAACAUAUAUCUGAUCCAAGUACGCCGAGACCCCAUCCAAAUCCAUUUGAUUACACUCCUGAGGGAAAAUCUGAUCAUUAUUUUCAGAUGGAAGAUGGAGUAGUUCAAGUUUACAAAAAUAAAGAUUUGAAAGAGAAGCUUUUUCCUGUUGCUGAUGCUACAACCUUUUUCACUGACAUGCACGACAUCCUUAAAAUAAUAGCUGCUGGAAACAUCCGGACAUUAUGUCAUCACCGGCUGGUUCUUUUGGAACAAAAAUUCAAUCUUCAUUUGAUGCUUAAUGCGGAUAGGGAGUUCCUAGCACAGAAAAGUGCUCCACAUCGUGACUUCUACAACGUCAGGAAAGUUGACACACAUGUUCAUCACUCAGCAUGCAUGAACCAGAAACAUCUUUUAAGGUUUAUAAAGUCCAAGUUGAGGAAGGAGCCAGAUGAGGUUGUAAUAUUUCGAGAUGGAACAUAUAUGACGUUGAAAGAGGUUUUUGAGAGUUUGGAUCUGACUGGAUAUGACAUGAAUGUUGACCUUUUGGAUGUUCAUGCUGACAAGAGCACCUUUCAUCGUUUUGAUAAAUUUAACUUGAAGUAUAAUCCUUGUGGUCAAAGUAGGCUGCGGGAGAUUUUCCUGAAGCAAGAUAACCUUAUCCAAGGUCGUUUCCUUGCUGAACUCACAAAGCAAGUUUUUUCAGAUCUUGCUGCAAGUAAAUAUCAGAUGGCUGAAUACAGGAUAUCCAUUUACGGUAGAAAGAUGAGCGAGUGGGAUCAAAUGGCAAGUUGGAUAGUGAAUAAUGAAUUGUACAGUGAGAAUGUUGUUUGGUUGAUUCAGCUUCCACGAUUAUACAACGUGUACAAGGAGAUGGGUAUUGUGACAUCAUUUCAGAACAUUCUGGACAAUAUAUUUCUUCCUCUGUUUGAGGUUACUGUUGAUCCAGAUUCACAUCCUCAGUUGCAUGUUUUCUUGAAACAGGUUGUUGGGUUUGAUUUGGUGGAUGAUGAGAGCAAGCCCGAAAGACGCCCAACAAAACAUAUGCCCACGCCAGCUCAGUGGACCAAUAUUUUCAAUCCUGCAUAUUCAUACUAUGUGUAUUACUGUUAUGCUAACCUUUACACACUGAACAAGCUUCGGGAGUCGAAGGGCAUGACAACUAUUAAACUCCGCCCACAUUGUGGAGAGGCUGGUGAUAUUGACCACCUUGCUGCAGCAUUUCUAACAGCUCAUAAUAUUGCACAUGGAAUCAAUUUGAGAAAAUCUCCUGUGCUUCAAUAUUUAUACUACCUGGCUCAGAUCGGCCUGGCUAUGUCUCCUCUAAGUAACAACUCCUUAUUUUUGGACUAUCAUCGGAAUCCCUUCCCUAUGUUUUUCUUACGAGGCCUCAAUGUUUCCCUUUCUACUGAUGAUCCAUUACAAAUUCACUUAACGAAAGAGCCUUUGGUGGAAGAAUAUAGUAUAGCAGCUUCUGUUUGGAAGCUGACUUCAUGUGAUCUGUGUGAAAUAGCCCGUAACUCAGUCUACCAAUCGGGUUUCUCACAUCCUCUGAAGUCACAUUGGAUUGGGAAGGAGUACUACAGGAGAGGACCUGAUGGAAAUGAUAUUCAUAAGACAAAUGUGCCUCAUAUCCGACUGGAAUUCCGUGAUAUGAUCUGGAGAGAGGAGAUGCAACAAGUUUACCUGGGGGCUGCUAAUUUCCCUGAAUAUCUGGACCCGUAGUGAGCUUGACUUGUACUUUUUCCAGUCUUACUGUGUCAUGUUCCCAGGGGUAGACACAGAGACCUCAGUUUAGGCCAGAGCUAAGUACUGGCAAUGCUGACGUCAUCAGUCGGCUGUGUGCACAGAAAUAUAGUGUUGAUGACUUUAAGCAUUUUUGGACGAAGUUAGAACUGCCAGAUCCGUACGGACACUUAAGAAACGUGCAAAUUGCAAGGAUCCCCUCUGCUCGGACGAGGUAUAAAUUUCAUGAAUUAUAUUGCUGAGGAAGUGAAUGUUCUAUUUUUGCCUUGCUUAAUGAGGAAGUGAAAGUUAGAUCUAUUUUCAACUUAUUUAUCAAAAAAAUGUUUGAUCUUAAUUGGAUGCUGACCGUGGCACAAAACCUGAUCAACCGCAUUUAAGUGGCGUUGAGCACCUCGCUUAUGUUUAGUGUUGCGCUUAAAACCAGCCCAAAUUAUGCUAUUCUCAAGUUCGGUGUGUUUUUUCUGCUUGAAGCAACCUCUGGAACCUUCGCAAAUAU